rnacentral:rRNA from 1 species
GUAGGUGGCAAGCGUUGUCCGGGAAUUAUUGGGGCGUAAAGCGCGCGCAGGCGGUUCUUAAGUCUGAUGUGAAAGCCCACGGGCUCAACCGUGGAGGGUCAUUGGAAACUGGAGAACUUGAGUACAGAAGAGGAAAGCGGAAUUCCACGUGUAGCGGUGAAAUGCGUAGAGAUGUGGAGGAACACCAGUGGCGAAGGCGGCUUUCUGGUCUGUAACUGACGCUGAGGCGCGAAAGCGUGGGGAGCAAACAGGAUUAGAUACCCUGGUAGUCCACGCCGUAAACGAUGAGUGCUAAGUGUUAGGGGGUUUCCGCCCCUUAGUGCUGCAGCUAACGCAUUAAGCACUCCGCCUGGGGAGUACGGCCGCAAAGGCUG